GGGGGUGUAGCUCAGUGGUGGAGCGAUUGCCUAGCAAGUACAAGACCCUGGGUUCCAUUCCCAGCACCACAA
rfam:Ictidomys tridecemlineatus contig099234, whole genome shotgun sequence.